rnacentral:lncRNA from 1 species
CUUGUAUUUAGGGCUCCAUAUUAUAGGUAGGGUACCCUAGAAAUAUAGAAUUUUUCAGCCCUUGUAUUUUAGGGCACCUAGACUAGUUUUUGUAUUAGGGGUAGUUUUGUAAUUUCACAUGCACUAAGUGGAUAUUUGAUGUGUGUGGUUGGAAAUAAAUUUAAUUGAAUUGGUAGAAGCCCAAUCCAAUUAAAUUUUAGAGGGGGAGGUGAGCAUUUGCUUAC